rnacentral:rRNA from 1 species
AGCGAGCGCUGGCGGCAGGCCUAAUACAUGCAAGUCGAACGGAUCCUUCGGGAUUAGUGGCGGACGGGUGAGUAACACGUGGGAACGUGCCCUUUGGUUCGGAACAACUCAGGGAAACUUGAGCUAAUACCGGAUAAGCCCUUCGGGGAAGAUUAUCGCCAUUGGAGCGGCCCGCGUCUGAUUAGCUAGUUGGUGGGGUAAAGGCCUACCAAGGCGACGAUCAGUAGCUGGUCUGAGAGGANGAUCAGCCACACUGGGACUGAGACACGGCCCAGACUCCUACGGGAGGCAGCAGUAGGGAAUCUUGCGCAAUGGGCGAAAGCCUGACGCAGCCAUGCCGCGUGAAUGAUGAAGGUCUUAGGAUUGUAAACCUCUUUCAGCCCUGACGAAGCGAGAGUGACGGUAGGGGCAGAGAAGCACCGGCCAACUACGUGCCAGCCGCCGCCGUAAG